rnacentral:rRNA from 1 species
GACGAACGCUGGCGGCGGGCUUAACACAUGCAAGUCGAACGGAAAGGCCCUGCUUUUGUGGGGUGCUCGAGUGGGGAACGGGUGAGUAACACGUGAGUAACCUGCCCUUGACUUUGGGAUAACUUCAGGAAACUGGGGCUAAUACCGGAUAGGAGCUCCUGCUGCAUGGUGGGGGUUGGAAAGUUUCGGCGGGUGGGGAUGGACUCGCGGCUGAUCAGCUUGUUGGUGGGGUAGUGGCUUACCAAGGCUUUGACGGGUAGCCGGCCUGAGAGGGUGACCGGCCACAGUGGGACUGAGAUACGGCCCAGACUCCUACGGGAGGCAGCAGUGGGGAAUAUUGCACAAUGGGCGGAAGCCUGAUGCAGCAACGCCGCGUGCGGGAUGACGGCCUUCGGGUUGUAAACCGCUUUCGCCUGUGACGAAGCGUGAGUGACGGUAAUGGGUAAAGAAGCACCGGCUAACUACGUG